AGCGAACGCUGGCGGCAGGCUUAACACAUGCAAGUCGAACGCCCCGCAAGGGGAGUGGCAGACGGGUGAGUAACACGUGGGAACGUACCCUUUGGUUCGGAAUAACUUGGGGAAACUCAAGCUAAUACCGGAUAAGCCCUUAUGGGGAAAGGUUUACUGCCGAAGGAUCGGCCCGCGUCUGAUUAGCUAGUUGGUGAGGUAAUGGCUCACCAAGGCGACGAUCAGUAGCUGGUCUGAGAGGAUGAUCAGCCACACUGGGACUGAGACACGGCCCAGACUCCUACGGGAGGCAGCAGUGGGGAAUAUUGGACAACGGGGGCAACCUUGAUCCAGCCAUGCCGCGUGAGUGAUGAAGGCCUUAGGGUUGUAAAGCUCUUUUACCCGGGACGAUAAUGACUGUACCGGGAGAAUAAGCCCCGGCUAACUUCGUGCCAGCAGCCGCAGUAA
rnacentral:rRNA from 1 species